GACGAACGCUGGCGGCGUGCUUAACACAUGCAAGUCGAACGAUGACGCCCGAGCUUGCUCGGUCUGAUUAGUGGCGAACGGGUGAGUAACACGUGAGCAACCUGCCCUUCACUCUGGGAUAACCUCUGGAAAUCGGGGCUCAUACCGGAUAUGAGCUCCUGUCGCAUGGCGGGUGUUGGAAAGUUUUUCGGUUAAGGAUGGGCUCGCGGCCUAUCAGUUUGUUGGUGAGGUAGUGGCUCACCAAGGCGAUGACGGGUAGCCGGCCUGAGAGGGCGACCGGCCACACUGGGACUGAGACACGGACCAGAAUCCUACGGGAGGCAGCAGGGGGGAAUAUUGCACAAUGGGCGAAAGCCUGAUGCAGCGACGCCGCGUGAGGGAUGACGGCCUUCGGGUUGUAAACCUCUUUCAGCAGGGAAGAAGCGAAAGUGACGGUACCUGCAGAAGAAGCGCCGGCUAACUACGUG
rnacentral:rRNA from 1 species